rnacentral:rRNA from 1 species
UACAGAGGGGGCAAGCGUUAUUCGGAAUUAUUGGGCGUAAAGCGCGCGUAGGCGGCUACUUAAGUCGGAUGUGAAAGCCCUUGGCUCAACUGAGGAAGUGCACCCGAAACUGAGUGGCUUGAGUACAUUUGAGGCGGGCGGAAUGUGUCAUGUAGAGGUGAAAUUCUUAGAUAUGACACAGAACACCAAUUGCGAAGGCAGCUCGCUAAACUGUAACUGACGCUGAGGCACGAAAGCGUGGGGAUCAAACAGG